GGGGCAUGGGUGGAGGCAGGACGCGCCAACCCCUUCUCGGGCAGCUUGGAGGGACCCACCUGCCCCAUGCCUCCAGCCUCCUCGCCCUGCUCGCGUCCAUGCCCUCAGCUUGCACCUGCUGCCACUCCCGCCCCCUUGGGGACACCAGUCUGGGAGCCCGCCUCCACGCAUCUUUGCCCACUCUCUCCCCCACAGUAGUGAUAGCUCCUAGCUAGCCCCCCAACCAGUGUGAUCUUUGCAAAAUAAUAACCAGACUACGUACGUAUCUUUGCUCAGUGCCUCUGGCAGGCUCCAUUUCCCCGGCUUGGUUUCCCACUCCAGAAGUGACUGUUUUUAUUAUCCACACCCCCAGCAUCCAGACCCCUGUGCCUGUGCCUCUAGGCCAUCCAGACUCCAUUCUAGAAGCAUACCGCUGUGUUCCUGCCUCCUAGCCUUUGCUGUUCCUUCUUCAUCUGCUCCCCACUUGCUAGGAUCCUUCUAGAAGGCUUUCCUGGGGCUCUGCCCUAGAGGCUCUCCCUGCCCUCACACUGCAGGGCCCCCGGGUGGGUCUGUGUGUGCCAGCGCAGACUGGGUCCCUCUUCCCCCUUGCAGGUCUCACCCCAUCCCAGGUCAAAGAGCUCCUCAAAGCCGGUGGCAACAGCACACCCAUCUUGUUGCCUUUCCCGAAUGCUGAGCUGAGCCGGGUGGGAUGAAUGGAUGUCCAAUUGCACUGCCGCUGCGGGCUGCACAGCCUCAGGGACAGUGCUUACUUGGUCUAGCCGCCUGAGCAAUGCAGCCCACCUCCUCUCCCAAAUUCUCCCUCCUCCUGGCCAGCUGCCACAAGGAACCUGACUACCCACACAUCUGAUGGCUGGCCUAGGGGGGAUGGAAGAGAGACCAACCUCUGUCUGGCCAUCCUGCCCAGGCAGGAGCUCUGGGAGGAGCCACUUCAUCAGUGUCGGAGUGGGUCACUGACAUCCCAGGGCGGCACCAGGUGGACUAGCUGCACAGACUGACGGUGUGACACGGUAGAAGGGAUCAGGAGACUGAGGUCUGAAUGUCACUGGGCCCAUGGGAAAGAGGCCUGUCCCUUGGACUCUGAGUGGUGAUCAAACUUGGUCAGCCCUCUCCAGCCACCUGGGCCGACCCCGGUCAACAAGUAGACUGUCGGCAAGGCGCGCCCCAUUGCCCCGGAGCCCCUUUGCGCACUAGGUUCGGGUCCACUAGCCUCCUUGGCCCACUUGCUUGGCCAGCGCACCCGCCGCGCCACCCUCGUCUGGGAACGGGGGAUCCGCUGUCACUGGCCGGGAACCGACCCUGCCGAAACAGCACGUAAGGGUGAAGACGCUGGAGUCCAGCGGGAUGGAUCCCGGACUCCGAGGCAGUCGGGCUCGUGGGAGCCCGCGUGGUCCAGGCGCGGCAGGGG